rnacentral:rRNA from 1 species
UACGUAGGUGGCAAGCGUUGUCCGGAUUUAUUGGGCGUAAAGGGAGCGCAGGCGGUGACUUAAGUCUGAUGUGAGAGCCCACGGCUCAACCGUGGAAGGUCAUUGGAAACUGGGUCACUUGAAUAUAGAAGAGGAAAGUGGAAUUCCAUGUGUAGCGGUGAAAUGCGUAGAUAUAUGGAGGAACACCAGUGGCGAAGGCGACUUUCUGGUCUAUUAUUGACGCUGAGGCUCGAAAGCAUGGGUAGCAAACAGGAUUAGAUACCCCCGUA